rnacentral:misc_RNA from 1 species
UACGGGGGGAGCAAGCGUUGUUCGGAUUUACUGGGCGUAAAGGGCGCGUAGGCGGCGCGACAAGUCACUUGUGAAAUCUCCGGGCUCAACUCGGAACGGCCAAGUGAUACUGUCGUGCUAGAGUGCGGAAGGGGCAACUGGAAUUCUCGGUGUAGCGGUGAAAUGCGUAGAUAUCGAGAGGAACACCUGCGGCGAAGGCGGGUUGCUGGGCCGACACUGACGUUGAGGCGCGAAAGCUAGGGGAGCGAACGGG